rnacentral:rRNA from 1 species
AGGUAAAGCUCCGGCGCUUUAGGAGGGGCCUGCGGCCCAUCAGCUAGUUGGUAGGGUAACGGCCUACCAAGGCGAAGACGGGUAGGGGGUGUGAGAGCACGACCCCCCACAAUGGGACUGAGACACGGCCCAUACUUCUACGGGAGGCAGCAGCAGGGAAUAUUGCACAAUGGACGCAAGUCUGAUGCAGCGACGCCGCGUGGAUGAUGAAGGCCCUCGGGUCGUAAAAUCCUUUUCAGGGGGACGAGGAAGGACGGUACCCCUGGAAUAAGCGUCGGCUAACUACGUGCCAGCAGCCGCGGUAAGACGUAGGACGCAAGCGUUAUCCGGAUUUACUGGGCGUAAAGCGUCUGUAGGCGGUUCGAUAAGUUGGGCGUGAAAGCUCCGGGCUUAACCCGGAGAGGUCGUUCAAUACUGUCGAACUAGAGGACAUCAGAGGAGCAUGGAAUUUCCGGUGUAGCGGUAAAAUGCGCAGAUAUCGGAAGGAACACCAGUGGCGAAGGCGGUGCUCUGGGGUGGCCUGACGCUGAGAGACGAAAGCUAGGGGAGCGAACAGGAUUAGAGACCCUGGUAGUCCUAGCCCUAAACGAUGGAUGCUAGGUGUGGGGCCGAGAAGGCUCUGUGCCGCAGUUAACGCGCUAAGCAUCCCGCCUGGGGAUUACGGCCGCAAGGCUAAAACUCAAACGAAUUGACGGGGCCCCGCACAAGCAGCGGAGCGUGUGGUUUAAUUCGAUGCUACACGAAGAACCUUACCUGGGUUUGACAUGUACGUGGUAGAGAAGCGAAAGCGGAUCGACCCUUCGGGGAGCGUACACAGGUGCUGCAUGGCUGUCGUCAGCUCGUGCCGUGAGGUGUCGGGUUAAGUCCCGUAACGAGCGCAACCCUUGCCCUUAGUUACAAGUGUCUAAGGGGACUGCCGGCGGUAAGCCGGAGGAAGGUGGGGAUGACGUCAAGUCAGCAUGGCCCUUAUAUCCAGGGCUACACACACGCUACAAUGGUCAGUACAAAGGGCAGCGAAGCCGCGAGGUGAAGCGAAUCCCAACAAAGCUGAUCUAAGUUCGGAUUGCAGGCUGCAACUCGCCUGCAUGAAGCUGGAGUUGCUAGUAACCGCGCGUCAGCUAUAGUGCGGUGAUACGUUCCCGGGGCUUGACACACCGCCCGUCACGUCAUGGGAGUCGGU